UUCAGUUCAGUUCGACUUUAAACGUCGCCGUAACUUCGCGUCGUUCUCGUGGCUCCAACGCAAAAACGCGACCAACAAAAUUAAAAUUCUUAAAAAGGAAAAGCAAAAACUUGGGGAAAAAUAAUCACUAUUAAAUAGUUAAUUAAUGAGAUAAGCGCCUAUACCAAGCACUUAGUUUAACAACAAAACAUACAAACAAACGUACGUACAACAUAUUUGCCCGAAGUCCAAAAAGAGAAAAUGUCAACAAUAAGAAAAAUACAACGAGAAUAUCCACUCUGACGCAUAUAGACGCGUAUGUAGGCAUUUACAUACACCGACAAAUAUGUUAAUCAUAAGACUAUGCCACCUAGUGCCGCCAACAACAACAACCUAACCUAACUUAAGUUAACCCACCAAGAACAAAAGUGCCCAAAACAAAAAUCCCGACAACGCAAAAAAAUUCCAAUCGCCAAACGAUUUGCUGCGUCAACAAGAAAUAUCAGCAACAGCAGAAUAGUAUCAGCAGAAUAUUGAGUUUCAAAAGAACAGCGCGCUGAACAAAAGUCACAACGACACGAGAAUAAUAUGCGCGGAUAAAAGCGAAAGCAGGAAGCAAAACAAGCAGUGUGAAAAAGAGUAACCCACCGAUAAAGCAAAGCAGUCAAACAGUGCCAACAAAACAGAAAAAAAAAAUACAACAAAAA